rnacentral:rRNA from 1 species
UACGUAGGGGGCAAGCGUUGUCCGGAAUCAUUGGGCGUAAAGCGCGUGUAGGCUGCUUCGCAAGUCGGAUGUGAAAGCCCUGGGCUCAACCCAGGAAGUGCAUUCGAAACUGCAGAGCUGGAGUCCUGGAGAGGAAGGCGGAAUUCUCGGUGUAGAGGUGAAAUUCGUAGAUAUCGAGAGGAACACCGGUGGCGAAGGCGAGUCUCUGGACAUUUCCUGACGCUGAGGCACGAAAGCCAGGGGAGCAAACGGG